CUCCCAGGAGGAAGCACUACGACAGAGAGAGGGCACAGUCACAUAACCUGUGUUUCAGUCCUGUCGCAAUCACUCUGUUUUACCAGAUCCAGGAACUAAAGCCACAUCAGAUGUUUCUUUUAAGGAGCUAGAGGAACAUCUAAGUCCAUGCACCAAAUGAGACAGUCCCCGGUGUCGGGGAAACACCGGACGAGACGGCCACUCCGUAAAUCUUGCCGCACGGUGUUUGCGCGCAUCCUCGUGGGUUAGAAGCAGCAUUCGACCGAGAGAGUCUGUUGAGUGAAACAUCACCAGCUCCCGUUUGACCAAAAAUGGCUACAGAUAAACAAGUCUCAUCCCUGGCAGGAUGCGGCUCCGUCUGGCAAAUGUUUAUCAAGCGCCAGCUGUGUUCCAGGGAUGCGGAGGCGGAGAGCCACGGUCCGUGGCCCCUGGUAGUCCCCGGGUACGCCGGGAAAGGACACUCUGGGUCAUCGAUGGGAAGGAGGCAGUGCCUUCGCAAAGAACGUGUAUUGUUCACUGUCAGUUAAUAAACUAGCAUCUGGUUUACUCAGAAA